rnacentral:rRNA from 14 species
AUUGUUCACCCACUAAUAGGGAACGUGAGCUGGGGUUAGACCGUCGUGAGACAGGUUAGUUUUACCCUACUGAUGAGAUUGUUGUCGUGACAGUAAUCCACCUUAGUACGAGAGGAACCGGUGGUUCAGAUAUUUGGUAACGCGGUUGGCUGAACAGCCAAUGCUGCAACGCUAACAUCUGUCGGAUUAUGACUGAACGCCUC